AGCGCCGGCUAACUACGUGCCAGCAGCCGCGGUAAUACGUAGGGCGCAAGCGUUGUCCGGAAUUAUUGGGCGUAAAGAGCUCGUAGGCGGCUUGUCACGUCGGAUGUGAAAGCCCGGGGCUUAACCCCGGGUCUGCAUUCGAUACGGGCAGGCUAGAGUUCGGUAGGGGAGAUCGGAAUUCCUGGUGUAGCGGUGAAAUGCGCAGAUAUCAGGAGGAACACCGGUGGCGAAGGCGGAUCUCUGGGCCGAUACUGACGCUGAGGAGCGAAAGCGUGGGGAGCGAACAGGAUUAGAUACCCUGGUAGUCCACGCCGUAAACGGUGGGCACUAGGUGUGGGCAACAUUCCACGUUGUCCGUGCCGCAGCUAACGCAU
rnacentral:rRNA from 1 species